rnacentral:rRNA from 1 species
AUUGAACGCUGGCGGCAGGCUUAACACAUGCAAGUCGAGCGGGGGAAGGUAGCUUGCUACCGGACCUAGCGGCGGACGGGUGAGUAAUGCUUAGGAAUCUGCCUAUUAGUGGGGGACAACAUCUCGAAAGGGAUGCUAAUACCGCAUACGUCCUACGGGAGAAAGCAGGGGAUCUUCGGACCUUGCGCUAAUAGAUGAGCCUAAGUCGGAUUAGCUAGUUGGUGGGGUAAAGGCCUACCAAGGCGACGAUCUGUAGCGGGUCUGAGAGGAUGAUCCGCCACACUGGGACUGCGACCCGGCCCAGAAUCCUACGGGAGGCAGCAGUGGGGAAUAUUGGACAAUGGGGGGAACCCUGAUCCAGCCAUGCCGCGUGUGUGAAGAAGGCCUUAUGGUUGUAAAGCACUUUAAGCGAGGAGGAGGCUACUUUAGUUAAUACCUAGAGAUAGUGGACGUUACUCGCAGAAUAAGCACCGGCUAACUCUGUGCCAGCCGCCGCCGUAAUAC